rnacentral:lncRNA from 1 species
CCAGUCAUACACGUGGACCUAACUGCACCAAAAGCUUUUCUAAGGAUACUUGCAAGAAGAAAGUUUUCCCUAGUGGGUAAGUGUAUUCUAAUUCUUUUUGGUUAACUUUUUCUUUAAAACAAUUUUUUUUAUUUUAAUCAUUUGAGUAAAAUGGGAUUGGGUUUUCAAAUAGUGAAAUAGGUAUCUUGUAUUUUGUUCACUUACCUUUUCUAAAAAAUUAACUCUGUGGCCAGCUAAUUUUUAAGUUAGUUAAAGUACAAUGCAAAUACCAUAAAAAUCUUUGGAAACUGGUAUGCAGUUUAUAAAAUGUAAUUUUAGAACUGCUUUAAGUUGGGUGAUAAAGUAGAUCUAAUUUGGAGUAAGUUUUCAAGGUUCAAAACAAUUUAAACAGGAUAUUUAAGUUCUAUAACAAGCUAAUAACACUUGAAAUGUAGUCUGAAAGGUAAUUUUGUUAAUUGAUUUGCCAAGUAUUUGCUAAUUGGAAGCCAGAAGAAAAAAAUGUUUUGCCACGUGGAUAUGAAGAUUUCCUCUAAAAAGGUACAUGUAUGAAUCAAAUUGCCCUGUUUAAUUCUCAUUCAUAUGCAGUCUAAUCUUGAUUUUUUUUUUGAGUAUGUCUUUGGGAACCUCCAGGUAAAGGAAGAGCCACCAAUUUCUUUGACAGUAUUAGAUGGUUAAGAUUGUCUUGUGAAAAAGAUUUUUUUUCUACUUUUAAGGUGUAAAUGUGCUUGUGAAUGAAAUUCGCAGGUUUGAGAUAAACUCAUUUUCUCUUCCCCAUUAGGAAUUAUGCUGAAUUUUGAAUGUUUUCUAGCCCUUAAAAGUUUGAGGUGUUCUUCUAAUUAUUUAUUUCAAAUUUAGCAGGAAUAAAGAACAUCACCUUGUGAGACUGAAGAUUGUGACCAGUCAGAAUAAUGUCAAAGUGCUUACAGUGCAGGUAGUGAUAUGUGCAUCUACUGCAGUGAAGGCACUUGUAGCAUUAUGGUGACAGCUGCCUCGGGAAGCCAAGGUGGGCUUUAAAGUGCAGGGCCUGCUGGUGUUGAGUGCUUUUUGUUCUAAGGUGCAUCUAGUGCAGAUAGUGAAGUAGAUUAGCAUCUACUGCCCUAAGUGCUCCUUCUGGCAUAAGAAGUUAUGUUUUCAUCCAGUAAUCCAAGCCAAGCAAGUAUAUAGGUGUUUUAAUACUUUUUGUUUGCAGUCCUCUGUUAGUUUUGCAUAGUUGCACUACAAGAAGAAUGUAGUUGUGCAAAUCUAUGCAAAACUGAUGGUGGCCUGCUAUUUCCUUCAAGUGAUUUUUACUAAUUUUGUGUACUUUUAUUGUGUCGAUGUAGAAUCUGCCUGGUGUAUCUGAUGUGACAGCUUCUGUAGCACUAAAGUGCUUAUAGUGCAGGUAGUGUUUAGUUAUCUACUGCAUUAUGAGCACUUAAAGUACUGCUAGCUGUAGAACUCCAGCCUCGGCCUGUCGCCCAGUCAAACUGUCCAGUUACUGAACACUCUUCUAUGGUUAGUUUUGCAGGUUUGCAUCCAGCUGUGUGAUAUUCUGCUGUGCAAAUCCAUGCAAAACUGACUGUGGUAGUGAAAAGUCUGUAGAAAAGUAAGGGAAAAUCAAACCCCUUUCUACACAGGUUGGGAUCGGUUGCAAUGCUGUGUUUCUGUAUGGUAUUGCACUUGUCCCGGCCUGUUGAGUUUGGUGGGGAUUGUGACCAGAAGAUUUUGAAAAUUAAAUAUUACUGAAGAUGCGACUUCCACUUUAAACGUUCCAGAAAUGUAAAGUAUUUUUAAAACUUUUGUAAUUUUAAUUUUGAAAUUCAUCUAUACAACUUUUCUGUUUCUUAAACUGAAGUUUUGUCAUAAUUUUGUGCUAAAACAUUCUGAGGUUGCAUGUCAGGAUUAUAAGUUUUUACUAUAUUGGAAUAGAUUUAUUAAGUAUUUGAUUUUAAUCGUGUCUGUGAAGGAAAUUUAUUUUAAUAAACGUAUGAUAAUUUGUGAAGUUGGGAGAUGCCUUUUUGCUUUUUUAGAGUUGGUAUUUGCACUGUCUUCAUCCAAAAGUUAAUAAUUGCAUUGCUUGUGCAUUGUUUAUUUAAAUUUGGUGAAAAUACUCUGUUUAAAGCAAUGUAUUAAGAAAGUUGUGGGGUUUGGUUGCUUUUUAAGCAUGUUAAUUGACAUUUGGGGAGGGGAGGUUGUCUUGUUUCUAGUAAUCAAAUACUGUUUUACCGGUACUGGUGUUCUUAAUGUAUAACUGUUAACUGGUUACAUACUAGUUUUCUUAGUAAUUAUCUGUGCUGUAUAAACAGUUAGUGGUCCUUAGACUGUUGUUAACUUUCUGGAACUUAAAAAACAGGAGUUAAAAAGAAGACACACUGAUGCUAAGCAGAGUGCCAAGUAUGUGUGUGUGGACAUGUCUCAUGCCAAGAGUGUAGGCUGGGAGUCUGAAGUUAGGUUUUCUCUAAUGCUGUAAUACUAUUAGUACUUCUCCCUUCAUAAACCGGACUUUUGCAGCAUUGAUAGUUGGUCUAGGCAUAUGUGACUUCAAGUCAUUGGAGUGGAACCUAAGAAGUGGCAGUAACAGUAUUUUAUUCAACAUUUCUGCCUUUUCUUUCAUGUGUUUGUGUCUAGCCUGUGUUUUCACCUUGUAGAAGAAUGUGGGUUAACUUGAGAAUAAUCAGAUUUUAAAGGAUCCGUUGUUAAAAUUGGAUCCAAGCUAAAUU